AACGAACGCUGGCGGCGUGCCUAACACAUGCAAGUCGAGCGAGAAAGCCCGCAAGGGUGAGUACAGCGGCGCACGGGUGCGUAACACGUGGGUAAUCUGCCCUGGAGCCCGGAAUAACCUCCCGAAAGGGAAGCUAAUGCCGGAUGAGCCCACGGGGUCUUCGGACCCUGAGGGAAAAGGUGGCCUCUGUAUACAAGCUAUCACUUCAGGAUGAGCCCGCGGCCCAUCAGCUAGUUGGCGGGGUAAUGGCCCACCAAGGCUACGACGGGUAGCUGGUCUGAGAGGACGAUCAGCCACACUGGAACUGAGACACGGUCCAGACUCCUACGGGAGGCAGCAGUGGGGAAUCUUGCGCAAUGGGCGAAAGCCUGACGCAGCAACGCCGCGUGUGUGAUGAAGGUCUUCGGAUCGUAAAGCACUGUCGCGAGGGACGAAUAAGGGCCGGGUGAACAAUCCGGUUCGAUGACGGUACCUCGAGAGGAAGCACCGGCUAACUCUGUGCCAGCAGCCGCGGUAAUACGGAGGGUGCUAGCGUUGUUCGGAAUUAUUGGGCGUAAAGCGCGUGUAGGCGGCCUAGUAAGUUGGGUGUGAAAGCCCUCGGCUUAACCGAGGAAGUGCGCCCAAAACUGCAUGGCUUGAGUGCCGGAGAGGGUGGCGGAAUUCCCGGUGUAGAGGUGAAAUUCGUAGAUAUCGGGAGGAACACCAGUGGCGAAGGCGGCCACCUGGACGGCAACUGACGCUGAGACGCGAAAGCGUGGGGAGCAAACAGGAUUAGAUACCCUGGUAGUCCACGCCGUAAACGAUGAGCGCUAGGUGUUGUGGGUGUUGACCCCCGCAGUGCCGAA
rnacentral:rRNA from 1 species